GCACUGUGUUGCUCAAGAGCACCCUAGAGGCAUAUCACUAUUAUUUUUCAUUCAUUCGUGAUUCAUUUCCACCUUUUUGUGAAGAAAAAAACUAAAAAAGUAAAUUUUGAAAUUUUAAACUACCUACGCUUCCUUUUUGAUUUGGAUUUUUUGCUGAGCUUUGCAUUUGAUCAUCCUCAUCCUUUAAAAAACCAUGUCCACGGAAAGGUACAUGCCCAAGUUGAAGUCCAUGGUCGACUUCGAUGGCAAGAAGUUCUUGGAAGAGUUUUUUCGUCAAUUGAAAACCGAACAUUUCCGUAAAUCCUUCAAACAGGGAGAACUGAAAAAAGCUCGAGACGAGUUGAAAAACGUGCUUUACUUUACUAAUGGACUUCGUGACCUUUUGGAUAUACAAGCGUUAUUUCCACCUGUAUUAAAUACUGCUAAUAAUAAUAAUGACCUUACAGUUACAGAUGAACCAGUUGAUGAUGAAGACUUUGAAAAAUUCGUCACGGAAGCUCGAGGAGUGCUGACUGUUUUAUAUUCGAGAAUUCCACUAACUCAGCAGGAAUUUUAUGCGUCACGCUUAGCCAGACUUGUAUUGAUUCCUCAUAAAGUUAUCAAACAGUGGGGUGGAGGGGCAUAUGGCAGGAGGUUGUAAGUACUAGCUAGAUGAACGUUAUGAAUAAUUAUGAUCUCUGGAGAAAAUUUUUGGACCUGAUCAGAUCCAAUCAGGUCUUUCAUUAGAUCCAGGAAAUGUCCGGAUCUGAUCUGAUUAGAUUGAAUCAGAUCUCCCUUAUUGGAUCUGAUCACGUGGUCAGGUCUGAACCGAUCUAAUCAUUUUCGGCUGAGCUAAUGAAAUUUCUAGCCUCAUGCAAAAUAAAAUGAGAUCAUUCGAGUAAUUGACCAAUUGCAAAUUUUAAACUUCCUUUUCUGGAGGAAAAUGUUUGGAUCUGAUUCUGAUCUGAUCUAAUCAGUAAUCAGGCCUUCUCUUUUAAGUUUUAAAUCUGGUCACAUCUGAAGUCAUCCAAUCCGAUCAAGAUCAAAGCUAUGAUUCGAUAAGAUCAGAGAAUCAGAUUAGAACUGAUUGAUCAGAUCAGGGCAUUCUCUGGAUAGUGGAUCCAAUUAGAUCUGCUCACUGUUCAGACCUGAUCAACGCAAUAGGGGAGAUUUGAUUGGAUUUGAUCAGAUCCAGUAACAGAAGAAACCUGAUCAGAUCAAUAGAUACCUGAUUGGAUCCGAUCAGAUCUGCUCAGGUCAGAGUUUUAACAAGAUGUCUACCUAAUCAGAUCCAAUCCAAUAGGAUAGACCUGAUUGGAUCUUCUCAGAUCUGAUCGGAUCAGAGUUGUAAGUUCUCAAAUUAUUGAAUCUGAUCAGAUCCAAUCCAAUUAGAUCUAUUUAGAUCUCAGAAGAUCCAAUCAGGUAUGCCCUAUUGAGUCUGAUCAGAACUUUGAUCCCAACUUCCCAACUCCUGAGCAGAUCUGAUCAGAUUUAUGUAAUCUAAUCACAUCUCCUCUAAUCUAAUGAAUCUGAUCAAAAUCAAGUCUCCCUUAUUGCAUCUGAUCAGGUCUGAACAAAUCUAAUAUUUGAUGCAGAGAAUGUCCAGAGCUAUUAGGACCAGGUCUGAUUUGAUCUGAUUAAUCAAGUCUAUGAUCAGAUUUGGCUGGAUCCAAUCACAGGGUGUCUACCGGAAUUUUUUGACCGAAAAUCAAAUCACUCCCUUUCAAAAAAAAAAUCACUGCCACUCAAAAUAUUUCAACUCCCCCCCCCCCUCCUCCCGCCAUAGAAAAGAUUUUUCAUUUUUUUUUUGAUUUGAAUUUUGUAAUUUUUUAUGAUGGAGAAAGUACCACGUUUUCAUCCAUGAAGGAUUUUUUUUAGCAGUGAUUUUUCAGGGUGUCUAGUCCAACAAAAUUUCAAAAUAAGAAAGCAGGACUUUGGCAGGACAUUUUUUAAACACCUAGGAUUUUUCAGGAGCGGGAGGGAAUGGACGAGACAAAAUUUUACAUUACAAUUUUUCGCUUUUCCAAAGUCUUCAAACAUCCCAAGAUUUUUUUCAAGCAAGCUGAUGUCAAGAAUAUAUAAUUUUGUCAUUUCAAUUUUUGAUUUUAUUUUCACCUUUAAGGGUCACUGUAAUGAAAUUGGGCGAAUGAAGAACUUUUAUCAAAAUAAAAAAAUUAAAAAAAUUAAUGGAAAAUUUGAACAACAUUUGGAAAAAAAUAUACCAAUUUUUCGAAAAAGCUAUUGAAAAUUUGUAUUUUGAGGGGUGGUAUAAAAACCCUGUUUUCUUGGGUAAUGAAUGAAGAAGUUCAUUAUUUUUGUUUCAAAAUUUUAAAACUUGAAUGGUUAUUAAAAAAAAUAAAAUUCAAACAUGAAAAAAAAACAAACGAAAAAAGUUCUACAAGUCAACAAAUGAGCCAUUUUCUACAAAAUUUUUCUAGGGUGGAAAAUUCGGAUUUUUCACUAACUUUUCAGCAAAAUUCCUGAAAAUCACUAUUUUUUUCAUUACUUUCACUACCGACUUUCAAAAUCACUACUUUUCACUAUCUGGUAGACACCCUGAAUCAGGUCUCCUCUACCGGGCCUGAACAGAACAGCUCAACCCCGAUCAAAACAUUAGUCAGACUACGUCUGAUCUGAUCUCAUCAAUCAGGUCGGUGAUACAAUCAAAUCAGGCUUCCUCCUUUGGAUUUGAACAGCUCUAACCUGAUCAAAACUCAGAUCUGACCACGUCUGUUCCGAUCUAGUCAAAUCUGGGCAAUCCCCAAACCCGAUCAAUUCAAAUCAUUUCCCCCUGAGCUAGCUUAUUCACACCCUAACGUGGCAACAAUUACCAUCGACUACAUCUAAAAAAUUCGAAAUAAAAAACCCAAUUAGGAAAUUUUGUUUAUUUAAUGUGAUUUUUACAAUAAUAUGUAUUCCUAUUUGUUUAUAAAUAUAAAUUAAUUAAUAACUAUGUGAUAUAUAUAUUUUAUAUACACCAAAAAAAAAAAAAGACAGAACAAACAUUUAUAAUCGUAUAAACAUAUAUCGAAUAUACAAACACGCGCAUACACAAACCAAUUCAUAUACUUGUUGCACUUUGCAAAAAUAAAUUACUUGCGCUGAAACUUUUUCAAAAAGGGCAAAGAGGAGCAAGGGAGAAGGGGUUUCACAAUGAAUACUCACAUACACCAUUAAUAUUUAUAAAUUUCAUAUACCUAAAAAUAUCAUAACGUAGAAAAGAGAAAAAAAAAUUAUACACGAUAUACAACGUCGUAAUUAAUUAUCCAAUAAACCUCCGCAUCCGAAAUUUUUUUUUUUCGUUUUCGUUAUAACAUCAUAAUUUUUAUUUACACGAGAGAGAGAGAGAGAGAAAUAUAGAGAGAUAGAGAAAGAGAGGGGGAAAACUCAUAUAGAGAAAAAUAAAAAUGGAAUAAAUAAAAUCCACACGCACACACACACAAAAGCUGCCAACAGCUAAGCCAGCAAAAUAAUACUGGAGUAAUUAUUAUCAAUACUGGGA